rnacentral:rRNA from 1 species
GACGAACGCUGGCGGCGUGCCUAAUACAUGCAAGUUGAGCGCUGAAGGUUGGUACUUGUACCAACUGGAUGAGCAGCGAACGGGUGAGUAACGCGUGGGGAAUCUGCCUUUGAGCGGGGGACAACAUUUGGAAACGAAUGCUAAUACCGCAUAAAAACUUUAAACACAAGUUUUAAGUUUGAAAGAUGCAAUUGCAUCACUCAAAGAUGAUCCCGCGUUGUAUUAGCUAGUUGGUGAGGUAAAGGCUCACCAAGGCGAUGAUACAUAGCCGACCUGAGAGGGUGAUCGGCCACAUUGGGACUGGGACACGGCCCAAACUCCUACGGGAGGCAGCAGUAGGGAAUCUUCGGCAACGGACGAAAGUCUGACCGAGCAACGCCGCGUGAGUGAAGAAGGUUUUCGGAUCGUAAAACUCUGUUGGUAGAGAAGAACGUUGGUGAGAGUGGAAAGCUCAUCAAGUGACGGUAACUACCCAGAAAGGGACGGCUAACUACGUG